rnacentral:rRNA from 1 species
GCGUGCCUACGGGGCGCAGCAGUAGGGAAUUUUCGUCAAUGGGGGAAACCCUGAACGAGCAAUGCUGCGUGAGUGAAGAAGGCCUUCGGGUCGUAAAGCUCUGUUGUAAGAGAAAAACGGUAAUGAUAGGAAAUGAUCAUUAAGUGAUGGUAUCUUACGAGGAAGCCACGGCUAACUACGUGCCAGCAGCCGCGGUAAUACGUAGGUGGCAAGCGUUAUCCGGAAUGAUUGGGCGUAAAGGGUGCGCAGGCGGAACCAUAAGUCUGAAGUAAAAGACAUCGGAUCAA